GCUCAGAUUGAACCUUUUUCGAGUGUCUAAUACAUGCAAGUUAAUAAAUCAACGAAAUCGUUGUAAAAUAGCUUACGGGUGCGUACAAUGUAAGAAUCAACCUUUAGGUGGGGUUAAUACCCCAUAGGCUGUGAAGUUAAAGAUUUAUCGCCUAGAGACGAGCUUACACCUGAUUAGCUAGAUGGUAAGGUAAUGGCUUACCAUGGCAUAUCAGUAACUGGUCUGAGAGGAUGUACAGUCACAUUGGAACUGAGAUACGGUCCAGACGACUACGUGUUGGCAGCAGUAAUGAAUCUUCCGCAAUGAGGGAAACCUUGACGGAGCGACUCGGAGUGGAGGACGAAGGUUUACGGAUUUUAAACUCCUUUUUUCAUAUUUGAACUUUCGGUUCAUUAGUUAUAACGUAUGAAGAAUAAGUAUCUGCUAAUCCCCGUGCCAGCAGCAGCGGUUACACGGGAGAUACAAAGGUUAAUCGGAUUUAUUGGGCUAAAAACAUUAUUAGACGGACAUAUAAGUCUAUAGUGAAAUCUCAGCGCUUAACGUUGAAACAGCUGUAGAAACUAUAUGACUAGAGUACGAUAGGGGUAAAGGGAAUUCUCGGAGGAGCGGUGAAAUGCAUAGAUUUCGAGAGGAACACCGAUAGCGAAGGCACUUUACUGGGUCGUUACUGACGUUGUAUAAUGAAACCAUAGGGAGCAAAAAGGAUUAGAGACCCUUGUAGUCUAUGGCGUAAAUCAUGAAUACUGUAGAUCGGAAAAAUUCGGUCUGUAAGCGAUAGCUAAGUAUUCUGCCUGGGGAUUACGCUCGCAAGAGUAAAACUUAAAGAAAAAGGCGGGAAGAAAAACAAGCGGUGGAUAGUGUUGUUUAAUUUUAUUCUACGAAAAAAACCUUACCACAAUAUGACAUCCCUGCUAUGUAAGGAUAUAAUAGUUCUUGCUUAGUGCAGGUGACAGGUGAUGCAUGGCUGUCGUCAGAUCGUACCGUGAGGCGUCUGGUUAAGUCCAGUAACGAUCGCAACUUUCGUCUUUAUUUAUCUACGGAUAUAGAGAUACUGCCGACGUUUUAAGUCGGAGGAAGGAGAAAAUGACGUCAAGUAUUAUGUCCCCAAUUGUGGGCUACAAACGCUAUACAUUAAUUGGGACAAUAAGAAGCAACUUAGUAAUAAUGAGCUAACCUCAAAACCCAGUUUCAGUUCGGAUUGAGCGGCUGCAACUCGCCCUCAUGAAGUAGGAAUCGCUAGUAAUCGCCAAUCAGCAUGUGGUGGUGAAUAGUCACUUUCUUUUACACUCACCGCCCGUCACACCGAGAAAAUAAUGUCAGGCCAAAGGCAACGAACGUUCGCUUUGCUCAAGUCUGAUAUCUUGAUUUUGGUGAAGUCGUAACAAGGUUACUCUGGUGGAAGCUAGGGUAA
rnacentral:rRNA from 1 species